AUGGACAUGAGUUUGAGAAAGCUCCUGGAGUUGGUGAUGGACAAGGAGCCUGGCAUACUGCAGCCCAUGGGGUCGCAACGAGUUGGACACGACUGAGCAACUGAACUUCUCACUACUUCUGUUGUCACAUUGUCAUCAUCUCCUGCUUGUUUCAAGGGUUGAGGGUUCAAGCAGUCACAUGUUCUAGUGAGCCGACGGUGUGCUGAAGGGGCAGCAGCAGUUCCCUCAAGAUUGUUGUGAAGAUUAAUUACAUAAAGCACGUAGUCCAUGCCCGAAAGGAACACAAUGACUUGGUAGCGCUGGAUUACAUUCUGAAUGACUGCUGCAACCAUCAUGUACUGUUCUGCAUUGGGGUCCUGUUGGCACCAGUGGUGAAAAGCCUGCCUGCCAAUGCAGGUAGGCAUAAGAGAUGCAGGUUUGAUCCUCCUCCCUGGAGGAGGGCAUGGCAACCCCCUCCGGUAUUCUUGCUUGGAGAAUCCCAUGGACAGAAGAACCUGG